UAGGGAAUCUUCCACAAUGGACGAAAGUCUGAUGGAGCAACGCCGCGUGAGUGAAGAAGGGUUUCGGCUCGUGAAACUCUGUUGUUAAAGAAGAACAUCUGAGAGUAACUGUUCAGGUAUUGACGGUAUUUAACCAGAAAGCCACGGCUAACUACGUGCCAG
rnacentral:rRNA from 1 species